rnacentral:lncRNA from 1 species
CACCCAAGAGUUACCAUGCAUGAUCCGUGAAUGAUGGGUAUCAGGCCUGGACCAGGUUUGAUUCUAUAACGGUCCAGCAUCGACGGCCAUCACUGCUGAAUCGAGGCUGUUGCUCUGGCCUGGACCAGUAUCUAUUUCAGUCCCGAUGUAGUCAUAGCUGAUACAGUAAUGUCUGUUCGUCAGCACUGGUCCAGGCUGUAUAUCAGUACUGGAUCAGAUCGAUGCUUUUCAAGAUGGCAGCCCCGCGUGGACUAUCUGACAUGUUUUGUUAAAGAAAAUCAUCUUAAUCUGACUCUUUAAGAGGAAUCUUGUUGGCUGUAUACACUAGGGCUAAAUCACUGGAUGUUAUGCUAUUUUGAACCAUUUAUUACUUAAACAUGAGUAGGAUACACGAUAUUUUGAGUAAAAAGUAGGCACAUGUAGAUACACAAUCAAGCUAAAUAAAUUAAUUGAGCAGAUACAUGACUGGAAAAUAAAACGACUGACACCUUCCAAUUAAAGUUUACCACAUCUUGCCUACAAAAUCUCUAUGAUACAAAAGUAAAGACCUGGGUUUACGAGGAAUUAUCAAAGGGGUAUAAACUGCAUGAACAAACUUAUAAUAAAUUUAGGCUAAUUAUUAUUGUGAGAUUAAUGACUUCAGUUUAAUUGACUAUAAUUAGAAGUACAUACCUUUCAUUAUGGAUUCUCCGUUAACUUUCUAGUAUUGAGCCUAGCAUUGAAACAGAGCCAGAAGACCUUUCUGCAAUAAAUCAUGACACUAGUGAAGACGAUGAGAAAUCAGGCGUAAAAAUGGUUCACUACAUGUGAUUGUAACUAUGUUUUUAAUUAGAGUGGAUGUAUUAGUGAUCAUGAUGAUAAAGAUAUUGUACUGAGAGACUUAUGAAUGAUAGUCACAAGUGUGAAUUUUUGAUGCGGAAGAUUAUUCUGGAAAUAUUAGUAUAGCCACUAGUAUACAUUCUAUAGUUACCUUAUCUCACUAAGUUUCAAGACAAGAUAAUCUUAGGUUGUGAUGAACUGAAACUUUCUUGUUUAAAGCUCUUGUUAAGUUCACUUCAAAUAGCAUUGAAUUUUUUUGUGAACCUGCCUUCAUCAUGCUGGUUAAGGAAGCUUUGUAGGACUAUGUGUGACAAGAUACCUUUGAAAGAUCUGCUUCACUACAUGGAACCCGAGAGUUCAUUAAUGUUGGAGAUUUUGGGAAAUUAAUUUCUCAGUAAUGUGUCUUAAGUUACAAAACAUGAAGUGUCUUACUUGUGGAACAUUGGUAGACUAUGAUAAAGAAAACAAUUAUAAUCUUUUUUUGUUUUAAUAAUAAUUUCAAAUCAUUUUAAA